rnacentral:tRNA from 1 species
AAGAAAUUAGUUAAAAAUAACAUUAAAAUGUCAAUUUAAAAUUACCCCAAAGGUAUUUCUUG